rnacentral:rRNA from 1 species
GACGAACGCUGGCGGCGUGCUUAACACAUGCAAGUCGAACGGACAGGCCCUGCUUUUGUGGGGUGCUCGAGUGGCGAACGGGUGAGUAACACGUGAGUAACCUGCCCUUGACUUUGGGAUAACUUCAGGAAACUGGGGCUAAUACCGGAUAGGAGCUCCUGCUGCAUGGUGGGGGUUGGAAAGUUUCGGCGGUUGGGGAUAGACUCGCGGCUUAUCAGCUUGUUGGUGGGGUAGUGGCUUACCAAGGGUUUGACGGGUAGCCGGCCUGAGAGGGUGACCGGCGACAAUGGGACUACGAUACGGACCAGAAGCCUACGGGAGGCAGCAGUGGGGAAUAUUGCACAAUGGGCGGAAGCCUGAUGCAGCAACGCCGCGUGCGGGAUGACGGCCUUCGGGGUGUAAACCGCUUUCGCCUGUGACGAAGCGUGAGUGACGGUAAUGAGUAAAGAAGCACCGGCUAACUACGUG